rnacentral:rRNA from 1 species
UGGGUAACCUGCCUCAAAGAGGGGAAUAGCCUCCCGAAAGGGAGAUUAAUACCGCAUAAUAUGUUUAAGUCGCAUGACUUUAACAUCAAAGGAUUUUCUUUAGAAAUUCCACUUUGAGAUGGACCCGCGGCGCAUUAGCUAGUUGGUGAGGUAACGGCUCACCAAGGCAACGAUGCGUAGCCGACCUGAGAGGGUGAUCGGCCACAUUGGAACUGAGACACGGUCCAGCUCCGUAGG